AGAGCGAACGCUGGCGGCAGGCCUAACACAUGCAAGUCGAGCGCCCGUAGCAAUACGGGAGCGGCAGACGGGAUAGUAACACGUGGGAACGCGCCCUUCGGUUCGGAAUAACUCAGGGAAACUUGAGCUAAUACCGAAUACGCCCUUACGGGGAAAGAUUUAUUGCCGAAGGAACGGCCCGCGUCCGAUUAGCUAGUUGGUGAGGUAAUGGCUCACCAAGGCUACGAUCGGUAGCUGGUCUGAGAGGAUGACCAGCAUCACUGGGACUGAGACACGGCCCAGACUCUACGGGAGGCAGCAGUGGGGAAUAUUGGACAAUGGGCGCAAGCCUGAUCCAGCCAUGCCGCGUGGAUGAUGAAGGCCUUAGGGUGUAAAGUCCUUUUAACGGGGAAGAUAAUGACGGUACCCGUAGAAUAAGCCCCGGCUAACUUCGUGCCAGCAGCCGC
rnacentral:rRNA from 1 species